rnacentral:misc_RNA from 1 species
UGGUCGAUCAUCUCUAGACCGAUAUCGUCUGCUCGAAGUAACACACCUCGAUCGAGUACCCUCGAACACCCUCAUUCUCAACUCCGACACCCCAUCAGGGGCACCUCUUCCGAACGGUGUUGGAAUGUUUGGACAAAACGGGUGAAUUUUUCGUCAUAUGGAGAUUUCCCCCUCUUACAAUGAUACUACCGGUUCCAGUCCCGCUACCGCUUCCGGUCCCCAUACCACUUCCGUUCCAAUAACCAUGGAACAAAUAAUGAGGUUUACAAUAAGAAAAAGGCAGAAUCCUCUCCAAAUAUCAAAACAGAACCGGCGUUGAUUCUGAAAGAAAAGACUUUUCACGGUUUAAAGGGGACGUGGACGAAAAUGAACGUUGACAAGAGACAUGCUUUCUUGUGCAUCUUGUAGUUCGGACAGAAGCGAGAGUGUAAAUUCAUGUUACUCCAAUGUCUGAUAUCGUUAUUCAUCACAUUCAGAUCUCCUGAAACGUUCAUAUUCCCCUAACAUGGAAGGAUCGCUCGAUCUCUCGAAACGAGCGCGCCUAGAUGACUCUUUCUGACCUUCUUGGAUGGUGCCAUUGAUUUGUCAAAUACCUCCACGCAAACAAGGAUAAAGGGGAAAGAAACAAAGACCAUGUAGAAAUCGAGAGUUUGGCGCCGCAGAGUUCGGAAACUCCCGUUGCAAAUGGGGUUUCUGGAUUGAAGAUCCCUAAAAUUCACAUAAUUAGCCCCCGUCAUGAGCCCCCGUUAUCUCAACAAUUACCUUUACCCCCUGUGGACCCCAAAUAUGCCAGUAGGAGAGGACUCAUUUUAGACGCACCGUGUGUACCUAAAAAACCGAGGAGUCCAUCUCCAGAUCGUCGGUCCUACGCCCGAUCAGUUCCGAAGGACGUUAUGGAGGCUGCAAGAAGAAGAUGCAUGAGAGCCAGAAUUAAAACAAAUAACCAUUUUUUAUAAGAAAAUUUAUAUUUAUUUCAAUGCAAAGUCAUGUGUCGCUCUCAAUGUUUGGCUCCAAAAGUGCUUCUGCGUAUGUUGCGUUGUCAUACGUUGGAAGAUUGUUAAUUUACACUAAUUUGUAAUGGACAAUAUGUUUGUUCUUAACUUGUUUUUUUUAAUGUGCAAUUGAUGGUAGAGUGCAAUAUAUUGUCAACGCGGCCAGAUGAUUCGUCAAUGUUUAUUUUGCUGCAGGAUUGUUGAUAUACUUAUAAUGCUGCAUAACGUGGCUUGUUUAUGUACACUUACAAUGUUUUUUUUUAAAUAAAUGAAUAUAGUUAUUUUGAG